rnacentral:rRNA from 1 species
CAGUAGCCACGGUAAAACGAAGGGUGCAAGCGUUAAUCGGAAUUACUGGGCGUAAAGCGUGCGUAGGCGGUGAGUUAAGUCUGCUGUGAAAUCCCCGGGCUCAACCUGGGAAUUGCAGUGGAUACUGGCUCGCUAGAGUGUGUCAGAGGAUGGUGGAAUUCCCGGUGUAGCGGUGAAAUGCGUAGAGAUCGGGAGGAACAUCAGUGGCGAAGGCGGCCAUCUGGGACAACACUGACGCUGAGGCACGAAAGCGUGGGGAGCAAACAGGAUUAGAUACCCCCGUAGUCCCUGUCUCUUAUAC